rnacentral:rRNA from 1 species
CCUACGGGAGGCAGCAGUGAGGAAUAUUGGUCAAUGGGCGCGAGCCUGAACCAGCCAAGUAGCGUGAAGGAUGACUGCCCUACGGGUUGUAAACUUUUUUUAUAAAGGAAUAAAGUGAGGCACUAGUGCCUUUUUGUAUGUACUUUAUGCAUAAGGAUCGGCUAACUUCGCGCCAGCAGCCGCGGUACUACGGAGGAUCCGAGCGUUAUCCGGAUUUAUUGGGUUUAAAGGGAGCGUAGAUGGGUUGUUAAGUCAGUUGUGAAAGUUUGCGGCUCAACCGUAAAAUUGCAAUUGAUACUGGCAGCCGUGAGUACAGUUGAGGUAGGCAGAAUUCGUGGUGUAGCGGUGAAAUGCUUAGAUAUCACGAAGAACACCGAUUGCGAAGGCAGCCUACUAAACUGCCACUGACAUUGAUGCUCGAAAGUGUGGGUAUCAAACAGGAUUAGAUACCCUAGUAGUC